CAUAAUUACAAUAAUAUAAAAUAUAAUACAAGACGGGUAUUGCUAAAAAGAGUACAGUAUUCGAUUUUUUCGCUGAUAUUUAUUGUAUGAACGAUUCCAUUACGAUUAGCAUUACAGUUUCGAAACUUCUACCAAUGGCUGUGAUUGGUCGCCCCAUGUUGGCGUCCUCUCAUUUCAACCAAUCAGACACAUCGAUUUGUGACGCAGUGCAGCAUUUCUCUUCGAAAAUUUAUCCGUUAUGCACGUGUCUGCAACAGACGUAGGUAUCGGCCGAUAGCAGAAUAUACCGAACAUUGCCGAGUGUUGCCGAAGUGCCGACCGGUUUACGAUGGGAAGGAAGGUCUCGCCAUUGCUCUCUCGAGCGUCGAAGUGAGAAGAUGUGUCGAAGUCGUGCUCCCGUAUAAGCAAUACAAAAAUAUUUAUUUGAUUUCAAAAAGGCGCCAUGGGAUACGACGCCAUUGAUAUUGGUUCGAAAUAUAAUUUUGUAAAGGGUAUAUAAUAUAAUUGGUAAGGUUUAUUAUUGCUUUUUUUGAGUCGUUGUUAAGUGUAAGCAUUUUUAAUAAUUAAUUGGUACGAAAG